UACAGAGGUCCCGAGCGUUGUUCGGAUUCACUGGGCGUAAAGGGUGCGUAGGCGGCGGGGAAAGUCGGAUGUGAAAUCUCGGAGCUCAACUCCGAAAUGGCAUUGGAAAUUACCCUGCUUGAGGUUUGGAGGGGGGACUGGAAUUCUCGGUGUAGCAGUGAAAUGCGUAGAUAUCGAGAGGAACACCAGUGGCGAAGGCGAGUCCCUGGACAAAACCUGACACUGAGGCACGAAAGCUAGGGGAGCAAACAGG
rnacentral:rRNA from 1 species